rnacentral:lncRNA from 1 species
UGGAAUUGGGUUUUUGGGAAGAACUACGUGUGGCUUGAUCCCUCAAGGAGGGUACGUAGGCAGCCUAAGGUUAUUAGGUGCAGCCGCAGACUAAAUGUUAGACACGUUGUUUUAGAGCGAUUGAUUCGGACCUUGUUGUUGGUCCUGAAAUUUAGGUGAAAAUGUGAUUGUGUUAGGAGGCUAAAACCUCAUAUAUUGAAAUGUGAAGGGUUAAGUGAUGCAUGUUGAAAUUUAAUAGUCAUAAUUUAUAUUUGAAUUUAGUGUUUGCCUUGUUUAAGGCAUGAAUUGUUUUAUUAGCGUGUUUGGUAGUUUGUUGAGAAUUAUUGGAAGGCCGAAGGCCAUUUAUGUGAAUUUGC